GACGUAGGUGGCGAACGUUAUCCGGAAUUAUUGGGCGUAAAGGGUGCGUAGAUGGUCUGAUAAGUUAGCAGUGGUAAAUCGAGGCUCAACCUGGAGGGGUCGGGCGAGACUGCGGGGCUAGAGGCGGGCAGAGGCCGGUGGAAUUCCGGGUGUAGUGGUGGAAUGCGUAGAGAUCCGGAGGAACACCAGUGGCGAAGGCGGCCGGCUGGGCCUGUCCUGACGCUGAGGCGCGAAAGCGUGGGGAGCGAUCCGG
rnacentral:rRNA from 1 species